rnacentral:rRNA from 1 species
CAGCCGCCGCGGUAACACGAAGGGGGCUAGCGUUGUUCGGAUUUACUGGGCGUAAAGGGCGCGUAGGCGGGCGAUUAAGUCAGAGGUGAAAUCCCAAGGCUCAACCUUGGAACUGCCUUUGAUACUGGUUGUCUUGAGUCCGGGAGAGGUGAGUGGAACUGCGAGUGUAGAGGUGAAAUUCGUAGAUAUUCGCAAGAACACCAGUGGCGAAGGCGGCUCACUGGCCCGGAACUGACGCUGAGGCGCGAAAGCGUGGGGAGCAAACAGGAUUAGAUACCCCCGUAGUCCCUGUCUCUUAUAC